rnacentral:rRNA from 1 species
CUGAAACCGUGUACGUACAAGCAGUGGGAGCACGCUUAGGCGUGUGACUGCGUACCUUUUGUAUAAUGGGUCAGCGACUUAUAUUCUGUAGCAAGGUUAACCGAAUAGGGGAGCCGAAGGGAAACCGAGUCUUAACUGGGCGUUAAGUUGCAGGGUAUAGACCCGAAACCCGGUGAUCUAGCCAUGGGCAGGUUGAAGGUUGGGUAACACUAACUGGAGGACCGAACCGACUAAUGUUGAAAAAUUAGCGGAUGACUUGUGGCUGGGGGUGAAAGGCCAAUCAAACCGGGAGAUAGCUGGUUCUCCCCGAAAGCUAUUUAGGUAGCGCCUCGUGAAUUCAUCUCCGGGGGUAGAGCACUGUUUCGGCAAGGGGGUCAUCCCGACUUACCAACCCGAUGCAAACUGCGAAUACCGGAGAAUGUUAUCACGGGAGACACACGGCGGGUGCUAACGUCCGUCGUGAAGAGGGAAACAACCCAGACCGCCAGCUAAGGUCCCAAAGUCAUGGUUAAGUGGGAAACGAUGUGGGAAGGCCCAGACAGCCAGGAUGUUGGCUUAGAAGCAGCCAUCAUUUAAAGAAAGCGUAAUAGCUCACUGGUCGAGUCGGCCUGCGCGGAAGAUGUAACGGGGCUAAACCAUGCACCGAAGCUGCGGCAGCGACGCUUAUGCGUUGUUGGGUAGGGGAGCGUUCUGUAAGCCUGUGAAGGUGUGCUGUGAGGUAUGCUGGAGGUAUCAGAAGUGCGAAUGCUGACAUAAGUAACGAUAAAGCGGGUGAAAAGCCCGCUCGCCGGAAGACCAAGGGUUCCUGUCCAACGUUAAUCGGGGCAGGGUGAGUCGACCCCUAAGGCGAGGCCGAAAGGCGUAGUCGAUGGGAAACAGGUUAAUAUUCCUGUACUUGGUGUUACUGCGAAGGGGGGACGGAGAAGGCUAUGUUGGCCGGGCGACGGUUGUCCCGGUUUAAGCGUGUAGGCUGGUUUUCCAGGCAAAUCCGGAAAAUCAAGGCCGAGGCGUGAUGACGAGGCACUACGGUGCUGAAGCAACAAAUGCCCUGCUUCCAGGAAAAGCCUCUAAGCAUCAGGUAACAUCAAAUCGUACCCCAAACCGACACAGGUGGUCAGGUAGAGAAUACCAAGGCGCUUGAGAGAACUCGGGUGAAGGAACUAGGCAAAAUGGUGCCGUAACUUCGGGAGAAGGCACGCUGAUACGUAGGUGAAGCGACUUGCUCGUGGAGCUGAAAUCAGUCGAAGAUACCAGCUGGCUGCAACUGUUUAUUAAAAACACAGCACUGUGCAAACACGAAAGUGGACGUAUACGGUGUGACGCCUGCCCGGUGCCGGAAGGUUAAUUGAUGGGGUUAGCGCAAGCGAAGCUCUUGAUCGAAGCCCCGGUAAACGGCGGCCGUAACUAUAACGGUCCUAAGGUAGCGAAAUUCCUUGUCGGGUAAGUUCCGACCUGCACGAAUGGCGUAAUGAUGGCCAGGCUGUCUCCACCCGAGACUCAGUGAAAUUGAACUCGCUGUGAAGAUGCAGUGUACCCGCGGCAAGACGGAAAGACCCCGUGAACCUUUACUAUAGCUUGACACUGAACAUUGAGCCUUGAUGUGUAGGAUAGGUGGGAGGCUUUGAAGUGUGGACGCCAGUCUGCAUGGAGCCGACCUUGAAAUACCACCCUUUAAUGUUUGAUGUUCUAACGUGGACCCGUGAUCCGGGUUGCGGACAGUGUCUGGUGGGUAGUUUGACUGGGGCGGUCUCCUCCUAAAGAGUAACGGAGGAGCACGAAGGUUGGCUAAUCCUGGUCGGACAUCAGGAGGUUAGUGCAAUGGCAUAAGCCAGCUUGACUGCGAGCGUGACGGCGCGAGCAGGUGCGAAAGCAGGUCAUAGUGAUCCGGUGGUUCUGAAUGGAAGGGCCAUCGCUCAACGGAUAAAAGGUACUCCGGGGAUAACAGGCUGAUACCGCCCAAGAGUUCAUAUCGACGGCGGUGUUUGGCACCUCGAUGUCGGCUCAUCACAUCCUGGGGCUGAAGUAGGUCCCAAGGGUAUGGCUGUUCGCCAUUUAAAGUGGUACGCGAGCUGGGUUUAGAACGUCGUGAGACAGUUCGGUCCCUAUCUGCCGUGGGCGCUGGAGAACUGAGGGGGGCUGCUCCUAGUACGAGAGGACCGGAGUGGACGCAUCACUGGUGUUCGGGUUGUCAUGCCAAUGGCACUGCCCGGUAGCUAAAUGCGGAAGAGAUAAGUGCUGAAAGCAUCUAAGCACGAAACUUGCCCCGAGAUGAGUUCUCCCUGACCCUUUAAGGGUCCUGAAGGAACGUUGAAGACGACGACGUUGAUAGGCCGGGUGUGUAAGCGCAGCGAUGCGUUGAGCUAACCGGUACUAAUGAACCGUGAGGCUUAACCUUACAACGCCGAAG